GUUAGCUGGAACCAGGGACUUUUUAUCAUCAUGGAAAACUAAGAAAGGCGAGUAGAGCAGAGUUCAUUUGAGCA